rnacentral:piRNA from 1 species
UCAACUAUUGCCAUAGCACAG